rnacentral:rRNA from 1 species
AGUGAACGCUGGCGGUAGGCCUAACACAUGCAAGUCGAACGGCAGCACAGUAAGAGCUUGCUCUUACGGGUGGCGAGUGGCGGACGGGUGAGGAAUACAUCGGAAUCUACUUUUUCGUGGGGGAUAACGUAGGGAAACUUACGCUAAUACCGCAUACGACCUACGGGUGAAAGCAGGGGAUCUUCGGACCUUGCGCGAUUGAAUGAGCCGAUGUCGGAUUAGCUAGUUGGCGGGGUAAAGGCCCACCAAGGCGACGAUCCGUAGCUGGUCUGAGAGGAUGAUCAGCCACACUGGAAAUGAGACACGGUCCAGAAUCCUACGGGAGGCAGCAGUGGGGAAUAUUGGACAAGGGGCGCAAGCCUGAUCCAGCCAUACCGCGUGGGUGAAGACGGCCUUCGCGUUGUAAAGCCCUUUUGUUGGGAAAGAAAAGCAGCAGGUUAACACCCCGCUGUUCUGAAGGUACCCAAAGAAUAAGCACCGGCUAACUUCGG